rnacentral:snRNA from 1 species
GGAUGUGAGGACAAUCUGGCUGUGACAUCUGUCACCCCAUUAAUCACCAGGGCUGACUCAGCAGAUCUGACUGACGAGGUAGGUGUCCCCUUCCUCCAUCGCCACUCCAUGUACUUUCCUCCUGAAGCUGCAAGUUCAAAGAGAACAGCCAUCCCUGAUAAGAGGACCAUUAUUUGGUCAAGGGUAUAUGAGUAGCCGCAUUCCCUUGCUAGAUCCUCCAAAGAAGCUCUUAAGACAUGGGCCUUUUAUAUCUACUCUGUUGAAAGUCUAAUAAUAAAU